UGCAGUCGAGCGGGCGUAGCAGUACGUCAGCGGCAGACGGGUGAGUAACGCGUGGGAACGUACCUUUUGGUUCGGAACAACACAGGGAAACUUGUGCUAAUACCGGAUAAGCCCUUACGGGGAAAGAUUUAUCGCCGAAAGAUCGGCCCGCGUCUGAUUAGCUAGUUGGUGAGGUAACGGCUCACCAAGGCGACGAUCAGUAGCUGGUCUGAGAGGAUGAUCAGCCACAUUGGGACUGAGACACGGCCCAAACUCCUACGGGAGGCAGCAGUGGGGAAUAUUGGACAAUGGGCGCAAGCCUGAUCCAGCCAUGCCGCGUGAGUGAUGAAGGCCCUAGGGUUGUAAAGCUCUUUUGUGCGGGAAGAUAAUGACGGUACCGCAAGAAUAAGCCCCGGCUAACUUCGUGCCAGCAGCCGCGGUAAUACGAAGGGGGCUAGCGUUGCUCGGAAUCACUGGGCGUAAAGGGUGCGUAGGCGGGUCUUUAAGUCAGAGGUGAAAUCCUGGAGCUCAACUCCAGAACUGCCUUUGAUACUGAGGAUCUUGAGUUCGGGAGAGGUGAGUGGAACUGCGAGUGUAGAGGUGAAAUUCGUAGAUAUUCGCAAGAACACCAGUGGCGAAGGCGGCUCACUGGCCCGAUACUGACGCUGAGG
rnacentral:rRNA from 1 species